GCAGAUCAUCUGCUUAAUCAGUGAUUGUGAAAACAGGUGCACAUCAUUAGGUACUCUAAGCAGUGAGUGAGUGUCAAGUUGAGUCAAGAAAGCAUUGUAUUCAGCUCACCCUGUGGUAACCUGAACAGAUGGUACGUUCCAGUCAAGUGAGGCUGAGAAGGCGUCUUUCUGACUGACCAUGGGCUUGUGCAGCUGAGCUGUGGGAGUAUCCGAGGGCCAGCAGAGCCGUCUCCACCAGCUGAGAGAAGAGAAUAUCCUUCCUGACCAGCACAAACUCUGCAUGCUCCUCUCUCCCCUCACAUCCCUCCGUCUGAAUCCCUCCAUCUGACUGCUCCACCACACAGAAGACUGGAAUCAUCAGACCUGUCGAGCAGGAUGAGGGGAAAGAAAAAAGAAAAAGGAAAAAAGAGGAAGAUUCUUUCAGUGUCUGGUUUUAUUGUCUGUGAUAAAAAAUAUGGUUUAUCCCUCAUAGAAAG